GGGGAGUAGAAAUACUCCUAGUCGCUUCAUGCUUCUGAAACCUGGAUAAGCACCCGCCCGAUGAGCCACUUGGCUCAUAGGCAGACUUAGCCUUAGCCUUACCUUAACUUAAUGUACCAACUAAAGUUCUAAAUAUUGCUGUUAGAGAAUAUUGGCCAUUUCCGAGUUGCCCCUACUAAUACUUCUAUUUAAAACGAGUCUUAGUGCAUGCCUGUCGUAUUGAAAUAAGUUUUUCUUGCACAUUCAUUGUCUUGCAAGUCAAACUCAUUUCCAUAUGAGAGGUUGUGUACCAGAACUGGUUCAUUUUGAAACAGACUGUGGUAAAAAGUAACUUGGAAAUGGUUUAUUGGGUUAGAAUUGUACUGUAUGGUAGCAGGCAACUACUAAGUAAACAUACUUAUGAAAUGUUAAUUUAUAGUUGGUGACUUUGCCUCCUGUCAAAGAAGCCAUUGAGUCUCUUGAAACCAGCCAUGUUAGAUAUGAACUUUUCGACAGAGUAAGAAUCGAGCCAACAGACACCAGUUUUAAAGAUGCUAUUGAGUUUGCCAAGCGAGGUCAGUUUGACUCGUUUCUUGCUGUCGGUGGUGGCUCGGUGAUUGACACUGCCAAAGCUGCUAAUCUGUACCUCUGUCAUCCAGAAAACGACUUCCUGGAUUUCGUGAAUGCACCUGUCGGGAGAGGAUUGCCUAUUGACAGAACUUUGAAGCCUCUUAUAGCAAUUCCAACAACGGCUGGGACAGGUAUGCAAUAUUAACAGUUUUUUGGCCUGGGGGUGAGAUUGUUGAUACUAUUAUCACAUUUUAUGUUAUUAAGUAUCAUGACGACAUUCAGUCAUGCAUCUUAAGAAAGUUCAAAGGUGGAAUUCUCUGUUGGUAAGCUGAGAAAAUGGUGGCAGGAGGCGCGGUGGCCUCAUGAUUAGUGGGCCCGUCUCUGUAUCGAGCA